rnacentral:rRNA from 1 species
GAUGAAGGCCUUCGGGUCGUAAAGCUCUGUCAGAUGGGAAGAACCCGGAUCGUGUUAAUAGCUCGAUCCGCUGACGGUACCAUCAGAGGAAGCUCCGGCUAACUCCGUGCCAGCAGCCGCGGUAAUACGGAGGGAGCAAGCGUUGUUCGGAUUUACUGGGCGUAAAGAGCGCGUAGGCGGCUUUGUAAGUCAGAUGUGAAAACUGCCGGCUUAACCGGACAGACUGCAUUUGAUACUGCUGAGCUUGAGUUCAGGAGAGGAGAGCGGAAUUCCCAGUGUAGCGGUGGAAUGCGUAGAUAUUGGGAAGAACACCAGUGGCGAAGGCGGCUCUCUGGACUGAUACUGACGCUGAGGUGCGAAAGCCAGGGGAGCAAACAGGAUUAGAUACCCUGGUAGUCCUGGCUGUAAACGAUGGGCACUAGGUGUUGGGGGUUUCCAUACCUCCGGUGCCGCAGCUAACGCAUUAAGUGCCCCGCCUGGGGAGUACGGCCGCAAGGCUGAGACUCAAAGGAAUUGACGGGGGCCCGCACAAGCGGUGGAGCAUGUGGUUUAAUUCGAAGCAACGCGAAGAACCUCACCCGGGCUUGACAUAUAGGUGCAAGCUCUAGAGAUAGAGGCCUCCUUCGGGACGCCUAUACAGGUGCUGCAUGGCUGUCGUCAGCUCGUGUCGUGAGAUGUUGGGUUAAGUCCCGCAACGAGCGCAACCCUUGUCCAUUGUUGCCAGCGAGUAAUGUCGGGGACUCUAUGGAGACUGCCGGUGAUAAACUGGAGGAAGGUGGGGACGACGUCAAGUCAUCAUGGCCCUUACGUCCGGGGCUACACACGUGCUACAAUGGUCGGUACAGAGGGCAGCCAAACCGCGAGGUCAAGCUAAUCCCAAAAAACCGGUCUAAGUUCGGAUUGAAGUCUGCAACUCGACUUCAUGAAGUUGGAAUCGC